AACGAACGCUGGCGGCAGGCUUAACACAUGCAAGUCGAACGCCCCGCAAGGGGAGUGGCAGACGGGUGAGUAACGCGUGGGAACAUACCCUUUCCUGCGGAAUAGCUCUGGGAAACUGGAAUUAAUACCGCAUACGCCCUACGGGGGAAAGAUUUAUCGGGGAAGGAUUGGCCCGCGUUGGAUUAGCUAGUUGGUGGGGUAAAGGCCUACCAAGGCGACGAUCCAUAGCUGGUCUGAGAGGAUGAUCAGCCACAUUGGGACUGAGACACGGCCCAAACUCCUACGGGAGGCAGCAGUGGGGAAUAUUGGACAAUGGGCGCAAGCCUGAUCCAGCCAUGCCGCGUGAGUGAUGAAGGCCUUAGGGUUGUAAAGCUCUUUCACCGACGAAGAUAAUGACUGUAGCCGGAGAAGAAGCCCCGGCUAACUUCGUGCCAGCAGCCGCCGUAA
rnacentral:rRNA from 1 species